rnacentral:rRNA from 1 species
GUGGGGAAUAUUGGACAAUGGGCGAAAGCCUGAUCCAGCCAUGCCGCGUGUGUGAAGAAGGUCUUCGGAUUGUAAAGCACUUUAAGUUGGGAGGAAGGGCAGUAAGUUAAUACCUUGCUGUUUUGACGUUACCAACAGAAUAAGCACCGGCUAACUUCGUGCCAGCAGCCGCGGUAAUACGAAGGGUGCAAGCGUUUAUCGGAAUUACUGGGCGUAAAGCGCGCGUAGGUGGUUCAGCAAGUUGGAGGUGAAAUCCCCGGGCUCAACCUGGGAACUGCCUCCAAAACUACUGAGCUAGAGUACGGUAGAGGGUAGUGGAAUUUCCGGUGUAGCGGUGAAAUGCGUAGAUAUAGGAAGGAACACCAGUGGCGAAGGCGACUACCUGGACUGAUACUGACACUGAGGUGCGAAAGCGUGGGGAGCAAACAGGAUUAGAUACCCUAGUAGUCC